GGCCAGACUCCUACGGGAGGCAGCAGUGAGGAAUAUUGGUCAAUGGCCGAAGGGCUGAACCAGCCAAGCCGCGUGAAGGAAUAAGGCCCUACGGGUCGUAAACUUCUUUAGUCAGGGAACAAAGGGAGCCACGCGUGGCGCUGUGAGUGUACCUGAAGAAUAAGCAUCGGCUAACUCCGUGCCAGCAGCCGCGGUAAUACGGAGGAUGCGAGCGUUAUCCGGAUUUAUUGGGUUUAAAGGGUGCGUAGGCGGUUUGUCAAGUCAGCGGUAAAAAUUCGGGGCUCAACCCCGUCGCGCCGUUGAAACUGAUGUUCUUGAGUGGGCGAGAAGUAUGCGGAAUGCGUGGUGUAGCGGUGAAAUGCAUAGAUAUCACGCAGAACUCCGAUUGCGAAGGCAGCAUACCGGCGCCCAACUGACGCUGAAGCACGAAAGCGUGGGUAUCGAACAGGAUUAGAUACCCGUGUA
rnacentral:rRNA from 1 species